rnacentral:lncRNA from 1 species
ACUCUUUCGCCGGUGAACUUUACUGGUAAGUUCCCCUCUUUCUCCGGUGAACUUGACCGGCACAUAAACCCUAAUUCCUCUUACUGAUGAUUCUAGACGGUUUUAUCCAAAUUAUGUUAUAUAUUUUAUUGUAAUUUCUUGUGUAGCUGCUCCUUUUUCCAUGACGAGGCUUCCUUUUCCGAUUUGUCAUAGUUUGUGAAUCUUACUAGUUAAUUUGCAUUUUAUGUGGUUCAAAGUUCUCAUGGCCUGCAUUUAGUUAUGCUUAAACUAGUUUUCUGAGCUUCUCUCCUAGAAAAGGUGAAAGAAAGAAAGAAACAAGGACACUUUUUUCUUUUGAUUCCUUUGGAAAAUACACCGAUACGAGAACUAUACAAAAAGUAGAGACAUUUAG